CCCGUGGCAGAAGUGGCAGUCGUGGUAGUGGCAGUGGUGGUUCGAGUUGUGUUAAUGCUAAUAUAUUGCCAUCCAUCGUUCAAAGCCGUAGUUAGAUAUACGGAUGAAGAAACGAACGACAAGUUUUUUUUCUUCCCCAUCACAUUCGGCAAAACUGUUUCGCUAACACCAGCCGGCAUCAGCUACCCGUUUUACCAUCCUGAAUAUAGCAGCUGUCGAUUCACAACUCUUCAUUUCUGAAGUAAUUUAUGGAAUAAGCGCCAAACAAAUCAACAACAAAAAGAGUCGCUUUGGACUGAAUGGACCAGAUGUUCGAAUUUUAAAUCUCACCUCACUGCGACAGAUUAUAGUUUUACUUUCGAAGUCAAUGCAAUUUCGCUAGACCUGUUCGCAAUCAAGAUAUUUUACAUCCAGUCUACACGUCCGAA